rnacentral:misc_RNA from 1 species
CUAACAACUUAUUACAAGUACUGCUAAUUGUAGAAAACAGAAAGCUAAAACACCUCCAAAUAUACUUUCUUAUAUGUGUGUAUUCAUCAACUUUUGCUAACAUUACCAUUUUCCUUAACACCAUUAUCUUUCUCGUUUACACCGUCAACACUCUUAGCUUCUUCAGUAGCUGUUACUUCUUUCUUUUCCUCGCGAUCUUUCUCUUCUUUCUCCUUCUCAGCCGCCUUUACUCUCUCUUCUUCCUCAGCCUUUAGUUUUGCUUCCUCUUUUGCAGUUUCGAGAGCUUUAAUCAAUCUCUCUAAACAAAUAUCUGCAUUUUCCUUUGAAGACUUAGGCAUCAAAUUCUCAGCAAUAUCAGCAGGAGUCAUAUUAGUUUCCUCUAAUAAACGACGAAUCUGAGGGAAGUGAACAUGAGAUUCAACGACGUCAAGAUAGUUAUGUGCAAGAACUUUGAAUGACUCAAAGCAACAGUAUGAUAGGACAAUAUGUUUAUCCAUUCUCCCCCUCCGGAUUAGAGCAGGAUCAAGCUUCUCCACGUAGUUUGUAGUGAAGACGAUUAGCCUUUCACCGCCAAUAGCUGACCAUAGACCAUCAAUGAAGUUCAAUAGUCCUGAUAAAGUUACCUCACUUUGCUUUUCUUUCGUCUCCCCGCCUUUUUUCAUCUUCUCCUUGACGGCAUCUUCCUCAGUUUUUCCUUUAUCUUCCUCUUCUUUCUUCUUCUUAUUCGUCUCCCCGCCUUUUUUCAUCUUCUCCUUGACGGCAUCUUCCUCAGUUUUUCCUUUAUCUUCCUCUUCUUUCUUCUUCUUA